CCUUAUAUUUAAGUGAUUUUGGUUAUUGGUUUCGCAAAGUUCCUUUUGAGCGUUAAUUCUUUUAGUUAUUUCACUGCAUACAGUUGAUGACUAUAAAGUAUAAACACAGUGCUACCUCGUUUACUUAUUUAUAUGUGAACCUCCUGGCAUAGCCAUGAAUUCUAAAGUUCUUUCAAUUUUCUUUUGACAACAGUCUCUUGUGGCUGAUGCUCUUUGUCUUAAAGGGUUUUGAAUCCCCACUGAUGCUUUCAAAUCAAGAUUGUGCUAGAUAUUCCACAUACAAAUCAAAUGCCAUCACUAAAAAUGAAGACAAAGCCAGAAGGGGUUUUGAAUCCCAACUGAUGCUUUCAAAUCAAGAUUGUGCUAGAUAUUCCACAUACAAAUCAAAUGCCAUCGCUAAAAAUGAAGACAAAGCCAGCCUCAUCCAGUUCGAAAGAAAAAAAUGGUCUCCACGUCUGUCCAAAUUCAAGUGUCAUAUCCAAGAGUUCUCUCUCCCGAACCAGAAGUGUGCAGAAUGCUGAAGAAGUUGCAGAUUUGAUUCACAUUAGUCAUGAUGAUGGUAGGUUUGGUUCUUAACGAUUCUUUAGUUGUCAUUGUGAUGCUUUGAGAAUGAUGAAUCUUUUCUCCUCACCCACAAGUUUGAACAAUGGAAGUCUGUCCUCCAUGCUGACAUUGCCAUUUUCUCCUACUGCAUAUCCUGUUUCAUUCAUCAGUUGCUUUAAUUCUUGCAGUACCUAUCUUGUAUGAAGUAUAUCCACACCAAGUCGGAAGAAAUGGAGACCACGGUAAUGAUUUGGC
rnacentral:lncRNA from 1 species